rnacentral:rRNA from 1 species
GAUGAACGCUGGCGGCGUGCUUAACACAUGCAAGUCGAACGAAGCACUUUAUUUUAUUUCCUUCGGGACUGAUUAUUUUGUGACUGAGUGGCGGACGGGUGAGUAACGCGUGGGUAACCUGCCUUGUACAGGGGGAUAACAGUUGGAAACGGCUGCUAAUACCGCAUAAGCGCCCAGCAUCGCAUGAUGCAGUGUGAAAAACUCCGGUGGUAUAAGAUGGACCCGCGUUGGAUUAGCUAGUUGGUGAGUUAACGGCCCACCAAGGCGACGAUCCAUAGCCGACCUGGGAGGGUGACCGGCCACAAUGGGACUGAGACACGGCCCAAACUCCUACGGGAGGCAGCAGUGGGGAAUAUUGCACAAUGGGCGAAAGCCUGAUGCAGCGACGCCGCGUGAGCGAAGAAGUAUUUCGGUAUGUAAAGCUCUAUCAGCAGGGAAGAUAAUGACGGUACCUGACUAAGAAGCACCGGCUAAAUACGUG